rnacentral:lncRNA from 1 species
CAGUAGUUACAUGCAUAUUUUGAAAUACUUUUGAGAAGUGUUUGAAUGUAGGUGUUCAAAAGCUGUGAUCAAAACCGAUAGAAAAGACAACAAAGCUUUAAGAAAGUUUUUAGCACACACUCAAGAGGCCCAAGAAAAGGAAGAAAUAAGAGAAACAAAGAGUGGCAUGUGAGAGAAAACUGAAAAAUUCACAUAUUGGAAAACUUUAUGAUCCAAUCUGAUGAAAAUACUCUGAGAAUAUCUCAAUUUAGAGCUUCUGAAAAUAUAAGAUCUUCUUUAAACAUAUUUUGAUUCCUGUUCCUUCCAAGUAUUUUGGCUUCAGAAGAUUUCUGUAGAGUUUAAAAAAUGCCAUUUCAUUCUCUGUGUCUGAGAGUUUCAAAAGUAUGUCCAGUUAUUCAAUAUGUCCAAAUGUAAACCCUGAGAUUAAAUAAAUUCAGAACAAUGAUGACUCA